GUACUAAAACUUUGAUUCUGUAAUGAUGCAUGCCUAUUGUAGCUGACAGCAUGGGUCAGUCCGUUCUUCAGUGAGUGCCUUACUCUAGUUGAAACCAAGCACAUGUAAGGUACAGUAUGUUAGACUAUCUAGUUACGUUUUUAAAACCCCCUAUUACCUUCUCAGUCUUUAGUGAAAAAUAUAAAGUGCCAAGAAAUCUUGCAAGACAGAAUCCAUACAUACACUCUUUCCAAAACACUGUGACCAUGUAUAGUAGACGUUUUUAUUUCCUGAUGACCAAAUCUCUCAGUGAAUCAUGUUAAAUAUUUUAGUGCUCCUCAGUUUUCUCUUUUAUGACCCUCUCCUUGGAGUACACAGGAGGAAAGAGAGGAAUGCGG
rnacentral:lncRNA from 1 species